rnacentral:rRNA from 1 species
CCUGAUGCAGCAACGCCGCGUGAGGGACGACGGCCUUCGGGUUGUAAACCUCUUUUAGCAAGGAAGAAGCGAGAGUGACGGUACUUGCAGAAAAAGCGCCGGCUAACUACGUGCCAGCAGCCGCGGUAAUACGUAGGGCGCAAGCGUUAUCCGGAAUUAUUGGGCGUAAAGAGCUCGUAGGCGGUUUGUCGCGUCUGCUGUGAAAUCCCGAGGCUCAACCUCGGGUCUGCAGUGGGUACGGGCAGACUAGAGUGCGGUAGGGGAGAUUGGAAUUCCUGGUGUAGCGGUGGAAUGCGCAGAUAUCAGGAGGAACACCGAUGGCGAAGGCAGAUCUCUGGGCCGUAACUGACGCUGAGGAGCGAAAGGGUGGGGAGCAAACAGGCUUAGAUACCCUGGUAGUCCACCCCGUAAACGUUGGGAACUAGUUGUGGGGUCCAUUCCACGGAUUCCGUGACGCAGCUAACGCAUUAAGUUCCCCGCCUGGGGAGUACGGCCGCAAGGCUAAAACUCAAAGGAAUUGACGGGGACCCGCACAAGCGGCGGAGCAUGCGGAUUAAUUCGAUGCAACGCGAAGAACCUUACCAAGGCUUGACAUAUGGAGGAAACGUGCAGAAAUGUACGCCCCGCAAGGU